GAUGAAGAACGUAGCGAAAUGCGAUAGGUAAUGUGAAUUGCAGAAUUCAGUGAAUCAUCGAAUCUUUGAACGCACAUUGCGCCCGCCAGUAUUCUGGCGGGCAUGCCUGUUCGAGCGUCAUUUCAACCAUCAAGCCCCCGGCUUGUGUUGGGGACCUGCGGCUGCCCGCAGGCCCUGAAAACCAGUGGCGGGCUCGCUGUCACUCCGAGCGUAGUAGCAUAUAUCUCGCUCAGGGCGUGCUGCGGGUUCCGGCCGUUAAAAGCCUUUUUUUACCCAAGGUUGACCUCGGAUCAGGUAGGAAGACCCGCUGAACUUAAGCAUAUCAAUAAGCGGAGGA
rnacentral:misc_RNA from 1 species